GCUUUGCUGAGUACCUCUCACCCUGGAGGGGUGGGGGUGUUAGAGCUGGGAGGGUGGGGCAGCUCUUAUCUUCCUCAAACCCUUGGAGAAGGGGGUGUGGGUGCCUCUGUUUGUGCCUGGAGGGGUUUGGCCCAGACAGUGGAGGAGCUGAGAGGUGCUUCAGGGCUGUGACUUAUCUCAUGGCCUGAGCUGCCUAAACUGAGUCAUGUGAGCUGGGCUUUGAAGAGCCUGCUUUGGGGUUGGGUUGUUGGUUCGGUUUUUUGUUUGGGUUUGGUUUUUUUUUUUUAACUUCAGAGAAAUGCCCAGUUAAAUGGGACUUGUGGGCUUUGAUUUCUGGGUGAUGUGGAGAAGACCUUCAGCGGUGAACUGCAGAGGGAUUUGCUGUUUUGGGCACUGUGCAUCUCCCUGGGCUGCUGGGAGGGGGCUGUGGGGCCUCUGCCAUCGCAUGGUCCAAAUAGUUGUAGCUCUGUCCCUGAGAAAACAGCCAGGGAACUGCCUCUGGCUCCAGUAUGUCCUGGUCGGCAGGGAUGGAGAAGACACCUGGGUGAUGUCACCUCCAUCCCUCCUCCCUGGCUCUCUGCCUGCGCUGUUGCAGGCAGCUGCCGGCAGCGCAGAGGGACUGCGGGCAGGUGGUGCAGCGCCAGCUGCAGCCAUCUCGCUUUGGGUGCUCCCCUCUCUCCCACACUCAGCUGCUCUGAGCUCAUGGUGGAGGGCCUUCAGCCUCAGUGCUUCCUCCUCGCUGGCUGGGAGGAGGGGGCUCGAGGGCUGCACUCAAGCGGCCCAAAUUUCCUCUUUUCAAGCAACCAGCUGGCUGAAUUGUGAGAGUCCUGCCCAGGGACAUAUGUGCUGGUCUUGGGAUACUCCGUGCCAUCCAGCUGUGAGUGUCAGCUCCCCUUCCCCCCGACCCCUGCCCAGCAAACUUCAUGCCCAUAGGAGACUUCACAGAAUCACACAAUGGUUUGGGUUGGUUUGGGUUGAAAGGGACCUUUAAAGGCCAUCUAGUCCAACCGCCCUGCCAUGAGCAGGGACAUCUUCACCUAGAUCAGGUUGCUCAGGGUCCAUCCUGACCUUGAAUGUUUCCAGGGAUGGGGCAUCUACCACCUCUCUGGGCAACCUGUGCCAGUGUUUCACCACCCUCAUCAUAAAAAAUUUCUUCCUUAUAUCUAGUCUGAAUCUCCCCUCUUUCAGUUUAAAACCGUUACCCCUCGUCCUAUCCCUACACUCCCUGGUAAAGAGUCCCUCCCCAGCUUUCCGUAGCCCCCUUUAUCUAUUGGGAGGCCACAUUAAGGUCUCCCCAGAGCCUUCUCCAGGCUGAACCGCCCCAACUCUCUCAUGGCCUUAGGAGGCUUCAAGCCCAUAAGAGACUUGACAAGAGCCUGGUUUGCUGAAACAACCGACUGUCUCCCAGCUAUUCUGGUUGUGCUGGGCAAUAUCUCGCUGCUUCUGCUGGGUUUGCAGCUGUCAGCCAUGUCGUGGGGCGGAUGCAAUGCAGCAGAGCGCCUGUCGGAGUGGAAGCUGCCUGGUGUCUUUUUUCAGUUUGGUCUUGGGUUACGUGGAGCUCGCAGUCUGCAGCCGGUGUGGUCUGGUAACUUGAGGAUAUGAGAUCUCCCACGUCCAUCCAUCAAGAGCUCGGCGCAAGCGGCCGUAUUGAUGCAGGAGGCUUUGCAGGGCGGGUUUGAGCGUGUCAGCAAAGUUGCAAGCAUUCUGCUGAAAACAAAAGUGUAUUAGGUGGCUUCUGGCCUCAAAACGCCUCCCUUCAGUGCUACUGAAAAUAUAAAGUUGACUGCAGGAAGUACAGAAGUUCUUGGGUUGGUUUGUGGGAGAUUUUUUUCAAGAUUUUUCAUUAGAAAAGGUGCUUCAGCUGAGGCCAGUCACCUGUAGGCUUUCUAUGGCCGUGUUGAAGGAGCACAAAGCAAAAACCACAGUAGCCUUAGAAAUGUGUAUUUAUUUCUCUGGGCAUAACCUCCUUCCUGCUGCGUAAGCAGGGGAGCGCGGCGGGGCCACCAGCAUUGCCAGCGAGUCUCUUGUCUGCGAGAAAGAAACCUCUAAGCAAGCAAAUAUGCAUGAAACACCUUCAAAGAGGUGAGAUCUGGGGGUAGGAGGACCCAUGUGCUGCUGAAACUCAACCAGCUUUUGGGCUGAGCAUCCUGCUGAAAGCUUGGAGAGUGGCAAGAAAAGUAAAUAAAUGGUGAAAGGAGAAGGGGGAAGGAAAAAAACCAAACCCUUUAUACACUUAGCUGCAGCCGCCUGGGCUUGUUGCUGGCAGAAAGUAGGACACUCCUGCUGGGUUUUCUUCUCUGGAAAGGCUAAACUUGGCUGUGAGUGGGAGGCAGCCUGCAUGGAAAUGUGUGUGUGUCUCCCCAUCCCCUGCCCCUGCUCAGCAAGCUCUGCUGCUGCGGGGCCGGAGAGCUGCUGGCAAGAGCUGUGUGUCCGGCUGCUCGGGCGUAUUUGCCCAGAAGGGUUUAAGCUCAGGCUUGCAAAGGUGAUUAUACGUUCAGCUUGCUGAGAUGAGUAGGAAUUAAAGCCUAAAUAUCUCUGCUGUUCAGGCUGCUGCGGAGUAUGCGAGGUCUUGGGUUGCUCGGCAGGCUUGGAGCUCGUCGGGGUGGAUGUGGGGUUGGUGGAAGGGGAGCUGGGAGGUUUUGAAGGAGGAGGAGGGUGCCCUGGUGUGUUUGCAGGUCUGAGUCACACGUGGGGAUGUGGAGCAAGCGGUGGCUGCUGGUGUUGGGGAUUAAAUCGGAGUUGGGCAGUUUAAUGUGAAUUAGGUUAAAGGAGGCAGGAGAGCAGAGAAGCAGCCAAGCCCUUGGAGCAUCUUUGAGCUGGGUGAUGUUUGUGCUCCUGAACGGGAGGCUGUGGUCCACUCUUGCUGUUUUCCCUGCGUCUCUGUUCCCUAAAUUGGGACUUUCCUGGUGCCCUGUGCCAAGGGAUGUGGCUUCACAUCGUCCUUCGUGAAAAGCCCCAGCACAAGGGGAACACAGGCAUCAGCCACAGGCAUCUCCAGUGCACAUGGACCCCCCCUCUGCAUGGGACAGGGCGUCACCACCCAGGUCUGUGACCCUGAUCAGAGUCCCUGGGGCAAUGGGCUGGCCAAAAUGAGGCCAUAAAGUCCAAAAAUGUGCUUUGGAGUGAUGUGUUCAAAGGGAAGAGCACUGCCCUAGGGCAGGGGCUAGCAGGUCUCCA
rnacentral:lncRNA from 1 species